UACGUAGGGUGCAAGCGUUGUCCGGAAUUAUUGGGCGUAAAGAGCUCGUAGGCGGUCUGUUGCGUCGGCUGUGAAAACCCGAGGCUCAACCUCGGGCCUGCAGCCGAUACGGGCAGACUAGAGUUCGGCAGGGGAGACUGGAAUUCCUGGUGUAGCGGUGAAAUGCGCAGAUAUCAGGAAGAACACCCGUGGCGAAGGCGGCUCUCUGGGACGGUACUGACGCUGAGACGCGAAAGCGUGGGGAGCGAACAGG
rnacentral:rRNA from 1 species